UACAUUUCCCGUGGGCAUAUGCGCUGGCGGAGGCGAAGAGCACAGAGAGCACGCGCGUCUCUCCUCCGAUCGCUGGUCCUUGGAAGCACACAGAGCAUGCGCAGUCGCCCUCAUGCUAGUGCUCCCCAGUGGUUGAGGCGGGCACUGUGCAAACGGAGCCUACACGUCACUGCUGGAGUUGCUGUCCGACUCCCUCAGCAGUAGGUGACACUGCAGGGCGCAUGACCUCGAGGAGCCGUUCCCCAGCCUGGGCAGGGUUACACGAUGUCUAAACGCUGAACGAGAAAGUAAUGUGCUCCCCCAACAUAUCCCCUUAAGGAGGGCUGCGGGGAGUUCCCGGCUAUACCUCAGUUAACAACGCCAGUGCCAUAAUCCAUCCUUGUCCAUCUCAUCUGAUCCGUCGAGACCUGGAAGCAGCUGCCGCCCUAGGUGCUGGGUGCCCAUGCGCUCCUCAGGAGGAUAAUUGUCAGAAGAACAGGAAUGAGAGUCGUGCCUACCGGGUGACUUUGAAAAGUUCCUACAAGUUGAGGAAGCCAACUUGACCAAGUGUGUGAGAGGGCUGGGUUUCCAGAAGAUCCACCUCCAGUAGUUGAUGGAAACUACGCUGCUGAGGAUGGCCUUGAACCGUUGAUCCAUCGGUCUUCACCUCGACAGUGCACAGAUUACAAGCCUGCUCCACCACAUGUGGUUUCUAUGCAGUGCUUUGGGCUGGAAACCAGGAUUUAUUAAUCUGCAUUAGGCAAGCACUCUACCAACUGAGAGCUACAUCCUCAGCCCAAGACUAUAUUAAGACUGACUUUUGUUGAGAUCAAUUUGAUUUUCAUUUGUGUGUGUAUACUGGGCCAGGGAGGCCUAUCCUGUCCCCUGGAACUGGAGUUCCAUGUGGUCAUGAGCAACACGAUUUGAAUGCUGGGAACUGAAAGUGGGUCCUCUGGAAGAGCAGUAAAAGCUCUUAACCACUGAGCCAUCUCUUCAGCCCCUUACAAUUGCUUUUAUCUUUGGGUAGUUUUGCAAUGUUCUUGGUGUGUUUUUUUUUUAUUUGAAAUUUUUAUUUCGUUUAAUCAUGUGAAAGCUGUAUUCCACCGUUGUGUGUACUUAAUAAAAACUUAACACACACAA